rnacentral:rRNA from 1 species
GACGGAGGGUGCUAGCGUUGCUCGGAAUCACUGGGCGUAAGGGUGCGUAGGCUGGGUUUUAAGUCAGAGGUCGAAAUGCCUGGACGCUCAACUCCGAGAACUGCCUUUGAUACUGAGGGAUCUUGAGUCCGGGAGAGGUGAGUGGAACUGCGAGUGUAGAGGUGAAAUUCGUAGAUAUUCGCAAGAACACCAGUGGCGGAAGGCGGCUCACUGGCCCGGUACUGACGACUGAGGUGGCGAAAAGCGGUUGGGGAGACCAAACAGGAU